rnacentral:rRNA from 1 species
CCUACGGGGGGCAGCAGUGAGGAAUAUUGGUCAAUGGACGAGAGUCUGAACCAGCCAAGUAGCGUGAAGGAUGACUGCCCUAUGGGUUGUAAACUUCUUUUAUAAAGGAAUAAAACGAGGCACGUGUGCGAUGUUGUAUGUACCAUAUGAAUAAGGAUCGGCUAACUCCGUGCCAGCAGCCGCGGUAAUACGGAGGAUCCGAGCGUUAUCCGGAUUUAUUGGGUUUAAAGGGAGCGUAGGUGGGUUGUUCAGUCAGUUGUGAAAGUUUGCGGCUCAACCGUAAAAUUGCAGUUGAUCCUGGCAGUCUUGAGUACAGUUGAGGUGGGCGGAAUUCGUGGUGUAGCGG